rnacentral:rRNA from 1 species
GACGAACGCUGGCGGCGUGCCUAAUACAUGCAAGUCGAGCGGAGCGGCGGACGGGUGAGUAAUGCCUAGGAAUCUGCCUGGUAGUGGGGGAUAACGUCCGGAAACGGGCGCUAAUACCGCAUACUAUCAGAUGGGCCUAGGUCGGAUUAGCUAGUUGGUGGGGUAAAGGCCUACCAAGGCGACGAUCCGUAACUGGUCUGAGAGGAUGAUCAGCCACACUGGGACUGAGACACGGCCCAGACUCCUACGGGAGGCAGCAGUGGGGAAUAUUGCACAAUGGGCGCAAGCCUGAUGCAGCCAUGCCGCGUGUAUGAAGAAGGCCUUAGGGUUGUAAAGUACUUUCAGCGGGGAGGCGUUACCCGCAGAAGAAGCACCGGCUAACUCCGUGCCAGCAGCCGCGGUAAUUC